rnacentral:lncRNA from 1 species
AGUCUCCAGAGACCAUCUCCCAUCUCUACAGCGACUCCCCUAUGACCGUCCCCCACCCGGUGCUCUCGGGCCACGGGGAAGGGACACUCGGGAAAGACACCAGAGACCGGGAGGGUGCAGCUGGGCUCUUCGCGGGGAGCGGGCGGGAGGCCUUCCUGUUACAUGUCGCAGCUGGGACACAGACGGCAGCGCUCCAGGGUCCACUUGCCGGCUUCGGUUCCCUCAGGCCCAGGACCAGGCUCCACACCGCUGUCGCGUCCCUUAGCCGUGUGGGCUGUAGCACAGAGGGGGCAAACACCUCCAGGGGCUUGUGCCAAGUAAUUACCAAGCAAAUUCCCGGCGAUUUCCUCUCCUCCCCCCGCCCCCCCGGGCAGUGCCCGCUGCGUGUUCCCUGAUUCGGCCCCCGGCUGUGCAAUCAGCUCCAGGUAACCUGCGGGGACCCGUAAUUGCUCUGGAGUUGCCUGCGAGUUUGCAAGCCGUAUCUCAGGCGUGCAUGAGAUGAAGUCCAGAGAAGUGCAUGGGAGGUGGACACGGAAUUGUAGUGCUGGUCCUCCCUCUGCACUGGACUGGAUUCUGCCAAAGUCAACCAAGCGCCUUCAGUUGCUGACUCUCGUCUCCAGGCCUGAUGUCUGGGAGCUCGUCUAAUUCUGCCACUUUAAGGGUCUACUCUGCAGUCCUCAAAGUUCAGAUGAUUCUUCCCCAAACCAUCAAAGACAGCCCUGGCUGUCUCUGAGUUCUUAUGCCCAUGAGGAUGACCUAUGAAUCCCAGAAAGAUACAGUUUAGAGAAGCAGCAUCAAGAGAGGCUCUGAUGUGGCUUCAUCACUAACUGCAGCAGGACAACAUCAGUGCACAUUCGGAGCCCGUUUUAUAGAAUGGACUGUGAAGGCAAAGUGUCAAAGAGGGAAAAGGCAGCAUUGCAAAGACAGAGCAGAUAUUUACUGAAUACAUGCCAUGUUCCAAACAUUCAGAAAGGAGUUGUAAUCGAUAAAGAAGACACCUGUCUACAAGAAGCUUACAGUCUACUGGCCAGAGAUGAGAUGUGUCCACAGAUAACCAUGCUGCAAGUUAAGUAAAGAAGAAUCUGUAAGAGUGCUAUGCCACUGUGACCUGUUCUUUGAAAAAGCUUGAAAUGAAAUCACAAAGCAACUUUCUUGAUUUCCCACUAUUUACAUUUACUUAAGGAGGAAAGUUCUACUAACCCCAAAUAUGUACAUGGAAAGAUCCAUGACCUUUAGGAAUAUUUUGGGGGAAAUAAAAUGUUCAAUGAUACCUGAAAUCAUAUCUAGAUUGAACUCAUAUUUAGAAUGCCUGAUCCCAUGUAAUGGUCAAAGCUUCCAACUUCAUACAAAGUUAUAGCUGGUUUCUCUCUCCCCAGCCAGUGCCUGCAACAGGGCAGGGGUUGAAUGGUCAGCUUGUAUCGGCAGAGGUCCCAUUGUUCCUGCAUGCGGCCCAGUGGGCAGGGCCUAACUUUGUACCAUCCCAGCUCUCUUGCUUGCAAAGCCCAUAUGAAAACCCUAGGAAACACUUAGGCAUCUUUGCCUGAGCAGAUACUGGGAGAGCAACUCACCCAUGUGCCACCUCCUCUGCUUUCCUCCCUUCUGUCACCCAGAUUUUACAGGUGAAGGUCACAUGUCAGGCACUCAUUCUCCCACACUACAGGGGACAUACACUCUGCUGUCUGAGUGGUCCCAUUGAAGACCCCCUAGCAGACUGGAGAUAAGGUACAGUUACACCUGCCUCUCCCCUUAGGGAGGUGGAACUCACAGCUCACCUGUCUCUAAAGAAGCCCUCUUCACAAAUACCUUCCUGUCAACCUCCCACACACUUAUUUUUUUAAUACCCUUGACAAGAGUGAGGGUUUUGAGCUGUGAAACCAGUUUCUGGAUAUUUCCUUUGAAAUUUCCAUCCCAGUCUGGCUCCUUGCUGGAGCAGCCAAUAUUCUGCCAUUUCAGGUGCUGAGCCCUGGCCUGGGAGGUGCCAGCAGGGAGAGGCCAAUUCCAGCAGAGGAGAGUCCAGGCAUGUGGGGAUAUGGUGGUGUUCUCCAUGGAGGGAGAAACAGGGCAUUAAUAAAACAGUGCCAGGAAUAACCCUGUGAUUGAUGGGUAAAGGUCAUGGACUCUGGGAUACUGGCAGGCACUGAUGGGAACCUGUUAGGGCUGGACCGGGACCAUCUCUGGCUUCCUGCUUCCCUCAGGUACCAGGAUGCUCUGCUAUGGUCUCUGGCAAAACUGAGCACUGGGGCUGGGCACAUAAUUUUGCCUGGGACAACUGCUGUAGGGGCUUCAGAAUGCCUGGUUUUCUAAAUUUUAUUGGUGUCAGGAGAGAGCUUUGAUAAGCUUUAAUGUGCUAUUAAUUAUUUGGGCUGUUAAAAAAGGGAGUGCAUGAGAGGCUUGGAGUUGAAUGAUCUCAUUUCUGAGGUUCUGAGGAGGUACACACAUACACCCCAGUGGAAGCCAACUCAGGAUCCAGCUGCUCACGGAGUUCCUCCCUCUGCUCAGACACCAAGAGUGCUGCUGCCUGAGACUGAGCAGAGUAGGGAACUGGGGAGGAUCUCCACUGCUUUAAACUUAAAUGUAACUUGGGCAAUUUGGACUUUCUUUGGGCUUUAAUUCGCAAGGGCUAAAUACUUUGAUUUUGGACUUUAAUCUCUUUGGGAUUUUAAUCUCUAAAUUUUUCCCUAGGAAUUUGAUAAUGGGAAGGGUUUAUAUCCAAAUUUGGGACAUCUUAUUUUCCCAUUUAUUAUUGAAGAAAUCUUUAUGCAUUUUUUAUUAGCUCUUUAUGCAUUUUAUUAUUGAAGUAUCUUCACUCUGCUAUUAAACCUCAUUACAGAACCUCUGAUGAGGUUAGUGGUCCAUGUGGCUGGACAUCAAUUUGGAUUGGAAAUAGAACAGGCUCUGAACUUGCAGUCUUAGACACAACAUAGCCUUGGACUGGAUUUUAUUAACACACUGUUCUGGCUCAUCUCAGAGGCUUAUGGAAGUGAAAUCAACAGUGUCUUAGGAUGGUCCCAGGAAGGCACAGGAAGGAACAGAAGUUGAUGCUGGGGGAGCGACCUCCUGCUCAGAUAGUUAGCUCAUCCCCUCCUGGAGCCAGAUGACCACAUACCUGGUUGUCCAGGGGUUAAACAUUAAGCCCAGCUGGUUAAGAUAACAAAAAUCUGGGGAAUUUUUAUCCCCUUCCUUCUCUAGUUUUCAUAUAGAGGGACUUCCCUGACCCCACACACUUGGCCCCUCUCUACUCCCUUUUUGACCCAGCUAGGAGUGAUUUGUCACUUGAGUUUAUGUAUGACUCACUCUCUUCCCCUCCCUCUCCCUCUCUUUUGGUAUAUGCCUGCCCUGGGAGAACACACAAGCUCUGCUGUCAGCCAUGUGGAAUGAAGCAUGCCGGGCCUCAUCUCGGACCUGCACACUGCCCCUCAUUAUGUUCAUGAUCGGCAGGAAAUGGAUAAAGAGUGGCCAGAAGGUGAAAAAGAAGAGAUGGCCCCCUGAAAGGGACAUCCACAUUUAUUUGAGCACCUACCAGCAAAGUGCUGGGCACACAGAAGGACAACGUGAUGAAGCGCCAUCACAUGGCUGGUAGCCUGUGGUGAGUCACCGGACUUCUCGACUCCCACCUCACUAGGGUGGAAGGAACAGUAACCACAACGCUCUGCAACUCGGGCUGCGCCCGCAUGAUUGGAAACAAUCUGUGAAAUGCCUUCAGCUCUCCAAAACAACAGAAAUGAUCAAAGAUGGAGGCAAGAAGACCAGAGAACCCUAAAUGUUUACUGUCUCCAGUGUGUUUGGAAACAGCUUGGACCAGUGUAGAGUGCUGGAACAGAGAGUCAAGAGCAUCAGGCGCGCCACCCAGAUAGCAUCUGAAAGAUUGUAAACAGGAUGAUUCACAAACUGGUGGCAGCAGCUAAAAGCAGUGCAGUUCGCGACCCUCAGCACACGCCAAGAUUCUAAAUGGGAUGUUGCGACAACAAAGCAGCCUGAAGAUUCUAAAACAUAAUGGUGUCACCAGGACAUUCACAGGGUGCUGUAACCUGUAACUGACAAGCAUACUCAUCAUCAUUUCUCCUUGGGCAUGCUGCAUCCUUGCGCUCCACUGGGCCUCCUGUUGCAUUGCUAUUUAUUUGCAUCUACAAGCAGGGGAGCAAGUAUGCUGCGGAAAUAGCCCCAGAGAGGUGUCUGAUUCCCAUAGGCCCUUGCAGCCAGCUACAACUGAAUGAUUUCCGAUAUCAGUUACUGAAAAUUCUGACCAUGAUAUGCAGACCAUGGCAGAUCUUAAUGACAAUAACAUCAUCUCACAUUUUGAUGGCGUUUAACAGUUUACAAAGUGCUUUCACAUACAUUAUCACAUUUAAUCCCAGUGAGGUCGAUAGUCUUCUUCUCCAUUUUAUUGGCAGCUUGGUGUAGUGGAAAGAGCUGUGGAAUCAGACAGACUUAAGUUCAGAUUCUGCCUCUGACUACCAAACCAUGGACAAUUUGCUUCAUUUCUCUCCCUUUUCUUACCUAUAGGAUGAGGAAUCAUUUCUAUUUCCGAGGUUUGUGGUGAAAAUUAAAUAACAUAUGUAAAGACAUACAAUAUAGGGCCCGAUGCAUAGAAGUACUCGAUAACCAUUAGUUUCUGUCCACUUACAGAGGAAGAAAAUGAAGCUUAAGAGGUUAAGGGAGUUGCUCAAAGUAAUAGCUAGUAAAUGGCAGAACUGAGACUUCAUUUAUUUUACAAAUAUUAUUGAACACCUACUAUAUGCUGGUGCCUUGGGCAUAGGAAAGUGGAUGAGUCAUAAUUCUAGUUUUUGAGAUGUUCACAGUAGAGCGGUGGAAUCUGAAAUGCAAAUAAUCAAUUAUAAUCGAGCGUAAUCUGAGAGGCAAAAAGUACUUAGGGAAUAUCCUAAAGCCAUGGGUGCACCCUAGAGUAUCUACACAAGAGAUAAGUCUGAGGAAGAGGAACCUUCCAGGAGGCAGCAGUAGAGUUACACCUGAAAUAAAAUGUUGGCAGGUGGAUGAGGGUGAGCAAGGAGAGGAGCAUUCAGGCGAAGACAACAGUGUGUGCAUUCAUCAGGAGGGUCAAAGGAGCCUGGCAUGUCCACUGCAGCACAGAAGAGAACCUGAGCAGACAGGAGAGAGAAGGGAGAGGAGGAGGCAAGGAAGCAGGAGUGAGAAGAAUGAAGGGGCUUGCAGGUAAUGCUGAGAAGCGUGCAUCUUUGUCAGUCCACACUGGCACAAACUCUGUGAUGAUUUACAGAGAGAGCCAACCUGGUCAGAUUUGCAUUUUUGAAAUUGUGGCAGCAAUGUGAAAGAUUGACUAGAGGAGGGGAUAAUGGAGGCAGUAGUUCAAUGAGAGAUAAUUAGGCUAUGAACUAAGAAAGUGGCAGAGCAGACAAUUUCAAGCGGUAUAGCAGAGGCAGAAUUGACAGGAUGUGGCCAUUAACUGGAUGUCAAGACAGGAGAGACAGAGAGAACUCUAGGAGGACUCCCAGGCUAUGAGCUUUGGUGGCUGGGCGAACGAAGAUGUCCCCCACUGACGUAGAAGGAGAGGACAUUUGAAGAGAUGAUAAUAAAUUCAUGUGGACAUGUUGACUCUGAGAGACUCAUGGAUAUCAAGAAGGAGGUGUUCAGUAGACAGCUAAAAAUAUGAGUCUGGAGUUUGGGAGAGGACUCACAAUUAGAUGCAUUGAUCUAGGGAUCAAUGGUUUUUAGACAAUGGUUGAAGCUGUUUUUUUAUGCCAAGAGGAUAGAGCAAGAAGAAAAGUGGGUCCUGGAGAACUCUAGGGAAUAUCAAUGUUUAGGUGCUAGAAUGAGGAUUGUUGGAGAGAUGGAACUACCAGGAGAAAGGGAGAGCUCAGAGGCCAGGGAAGGCAAGCAUUUUUUGAUGAUGAAAGUAGAGGAAAGUAUCAAAUUCCACCAAAGGAUCAAAGAAGAUGAGAACUGAGAUAUGCCUGGCAUUUGGGCAAUGAUAAGAUCACUUUGGCAACUUCAGUUUUAGACAAAGUGGUUAAAAAAGAGGCUUUUUUUUUUCUAUGACCCAAUAUAAGAAAAAUAUUUUAGGCCAGACAUGAUGGCUCACACCUGUAAUCCCAACACUUUGGGAGGCCUAGGCAGGUGGAUCACCUGAGGUCAGGAGUUUGAUACCAGCCUGGCCAAUGUGGUGAAACCCCGUUUCUACUAAUAAUACAAAAUUUAGCCAGGCAUGGUGGCAUGUGCCUGUAGUCCCAGCUACCCAGGAGCCUGAGGGAGGAGAAUCGCUUGAACCUGGGAGGCAGAGGCUGCAGUGAACUGAGAUUGCACCACUGCACUCCAGCCUAGGCAAUAGAGUGAGACUCCAUGAAAGAAAGAAAGAGAGAGAGAGAGAGAAAAGAAAAGAAAGGAAAGAAAAGAAAGGAGGGAGGGAAGGAGGGAGGGGAAAGAAGGAAGGAAGGAAGGAAGGAAGGAAGGAAGGAAGGAAGGAAGGAAGGAAGGAAGGAAAGAAAGAAAAAUAUAUUUUACAUUGUGACCUGAGAAAAACUUUCAAGAAACAAUACUUACACUCUGACAUGUCAUGACGUGUCACACGCCACCUGUUCUGUUCUAUUCUAUUCUAUUCUAUUCUAUUCUAUUCUAUUCUAUUCUAUUCUAUUCUAUUGCAUUCUAUUGCAUUCUGUUCCAUUCCAUCCCAUUCUAUUCAAAUGCUGCUUGGCCCUCACUAAAUUGAUUUUAUGACCAACUAGUGAGUUUCAACCUGCAGUUUGAAAAAACAGUAGUUUAGACAAAUACAGUUUUCUCACACAAAAAUUAUAUGGAGCAAAGUGUGGGAUAGAAGAAAGAACAUUGGAUUUUGAGUGAAGACACCUGAUUUUCAGCAUGACUCAUUUACUUACUGACUGUGUGACCUUAGAUGUGCCCAUUAACCUUUGUGUGUCUCUUCUAUUACCUGUAAAAUUCAGAUAAUAGAUCAGCUGCAAAGGGAUCUUCUGGGGAUCAAAUGAGAUAAAAUGCAUGAAUGCAAAAAGCAUAAGCCUAAAAUAGUCCUGGUCAAAGUAAAAUUACCAUAAUCAAAGAAAGAGCAGAAUGGUGCAUGGUGUAUCCCAGUUGGCUCUGGGUCUGUCAUCUGAAUCCUAGAGCCACAUCUCUCCAGAACAUACUGAGAACCAGAAAUGGGAUCAAAAUAAUUUAACCAAUCAAAACAGGUGUUGCUGCUAUAUUUAUAAAAUUCACAAAAUUUACUGACACAGAAGCCCGUGUGAAAUCCCAUCAGAAUCAUUGUAGUCUUGUUCUAAUACUAUUGUAGCCAUGUUGAUUUUCUGAUCUAUAUCUAUGGACCUGUAUCAGAAGGACAUUCAAUAAAAUCCUAUUGGAAGAGGAGCUGAUAGAGGCAAGUAUUUUCGCUACAGUGUGACAUGACAGCAAACAGACUGCAGGGAAACAGCAAGAUGAAAUCAUUUAAUAUAGGCAAUAUGUAAACUUCAGCAGACCCUGGUGAUAUCACUGUAUUAAGGUAUAAUACAAUAACUGAUUUUUAUGGUUCAUUCAACAAACUACUGUGUUUGAGUACUCAAUAUAUGUACUAAUCUAGGUGCAAGGAAGACACAGAUAAACUGGGGAUGUUUCCUAACCCUAAAAAGUGAGCACACAGAUGAGUGAGACAGACACAUACACAGAUAAUUUCCACUAACAUGGUACAGUGAAGAAAAAUAUGCAUCUGAGCAUGAUAUGAUAUUAAUAUGUCAUGAGAGAAAAGAAGAAGAGCAGCUAGCCCAAAGUGGAAGUGGAAUUCAGGUAAUGCUUCUUGAAGGUCAUUUGCCCAAGAUGAGUCUUGAUGAAGAUAAAGAAAGAUGGGGAAACAAUUCAGAAUGAUGGAAUAGCCUGAGAAAGGCAUGAAAGUAUGAAACCUUGCAUAGUGUAGAUAAUAUUUCUAGAUCAUAAAAAAGACAAGUACAGGCUAUACUUAAGAGGUAGGUAUGGUCCUCAAUACUGAGAGUCUUCUAUACCAGGUUAAGAUGUGUAGAGGACAUCACAUUGACCAGAGGAAGCCACUAAUAGGGAUUGAUUACUCUGGAAGCCUUAUGGAGGAGGAAUUUAAAAAUGGAUUAGGCACGUAAGUUAGGGAACAAUUGCAGUGGUUCAGGAGAGACAUAUUGAGGGUAUGAAGGAGAGAAGCAGUAAUAUGGAUGAAGAAGAGGGGUUAUAUUUGAAAAAUAUUUUUGAUACUAUAUUUAGAUGUGAAGGCUGAGGCCAGGUAAUAAAUGCUCCACUUCAGGGACAAAAACAUGACCUAGACUCCCCAAUAGUAUUCACUUUCUUGAGUUCAUGAUUGAGUCUAGAGAAAUUAAUACAUCUCUACAAGGCAUUAUAGUAUGAGGUAGAAGAUGCUAAGUGUUGAAAGAAAGGCACAGACAUAUGGUUAUGGGAGUUAGAGGAAAGAGGCAUAAAUUCCAACUGAGAGUUUUAGGGAAGUCUUCCUGGAAGAAGAGGCAUGCAAGGCAGAUCUUGAAAGAUGGUUAAGAUUUUGCCAUGAGUUGAUGAGAAGAAAGUGCAUUUCUGAUAAAGGAAUAAUCUGAGAAGACAUAGGAUGAAAGAUGGUGUCAUUUUGAGCUAAAAACACAGGCUCUGGAGUCACACAAAGUUGGGACCAAACUUUGGCUCUGUCACAUUCUAAUCACAAAAUUGGGGAUAAUUUAAUUGACACUUCAGAGCCUCGGCUCCUCAUUUGUACGACAGUUAUGACUAUCAUUUAUCUUAUGGGAUUAUUGUGAGGAUUUUUUCCUAUUAAACUUGAUUUAUUGAUUACAAUGAAAUUGACUUACCUCCGAGUUUUAUACUUUCAUGUGUUUUUGUAUCACUAAUUUUUUAUUCAGCUUGGAGCAUUCUCUUUAGCAUUUCUUGUAAGACAGGUCUAAUGGUGAUGAACUCCCACAGCUUUUGUUUGUCUGAAAAAGUCCUUAUCUCUCCUUCAUUUCUGAAUGACUACCUUGCCAGAUAUAGUAUUCUUUGUUGGCUGUUGUUGUUGUUGUUUACCUUUAGUACUUUUUUUUCCUUCUCCUCUUUUAGGGAAUUUAUUUUAAACCUAUUAUACUACACAAUAUGUUUUAAACACUGACAUAUAACUUCCUAAUAAGAUAGAGCUAAGAUAGAGCAAAGACAAAAAAAGUUUAUCUUAUUGGAAACAAGAUACAGCAUCAUUUAUAGUCAUUGUCAAACAUUACUGCACUUUAACUUUCAUAAUUUGACAAAGCAUUCAUGAAACAAUCUGC